CCUACGGGAGGCAGCAGUGGGGAAUAUUGGACAAUGGGGGGAACCCUGAUCCAGCGACGCCGCGUGAGUGAAGAAGUAUUUCGGUAUGUAAAGCUCUAUCAGCAGGGAAGAAAAUGACGGUACCUGACUAAGAAGCCCCGGCUAACUACGUGCCAGCAGCCGCGGUAAUACGUAGGGGGCAAGCGUUAUCCGGAUUUACUGGGUGUAAAGGGAGCGUAGACGGUGCAGCAAGUCUGAUGUGAAAGGUCGGGGCCCAACCCCCGGACUGCUUUGGAAACUGUAUGGCUGGAGUGCAGGAGAGGUAAGUGGAAUUCCUAGUGUAGCGGGGAAAUGCGUAGAUAUUAGGAGGAACACCAGUGGCGAAGGCGGCUUACUGGACUGUAACUGACGUUGAGGCUCGAAAGCGUGGGGAGCAAACAGGAUUAGAUACCCGGGUAGUC
rnacentral:rRNA from 1 species